rnacentral:rRNA from 1 species
GAGUUUGAUCUUGGCUCAGAUUGAACGCUGGCGGAAUGCUUUACACAUGCAAGUCGAACGGCAGCACGGGGGCAACCCUGGUGGCGAGUGGCGAACGGGUGAGUAAUACAUCGGAACGGUGCCCAGUCGUGGGGGAUAACGUAGCGAAAAGCGUACGCUAAUACCGCAUACGAUCUCUGGAUGAAAAGGCGGGGGGACCGCAAGGCCUCGCGCGAUUGGAGCGGCCGAUGGCAGAUUAGGUAGUUGGUGGGGUAAAGGCUCACCAAGCCGACGAUCUGUAGCUGGUCUGAGAGGACGACCAGCCACACUGGGACUGAGACACGGCCCAGACUCCUACGGGAGGCAGCAGUGGGGAAUUUUGGACAAUGGGCGCAAGCCUGAUCCAGCCAUUCCGCGUGCAGGAUGAAGGCCCUCGGGUUGUAAACUGCUUUUGUACGGAACGAAAAGGCUUUCUCUAAUACAGAGAGCUCAUGACGGUACCGUAAGAAUAAAGCACCGGCUAACUACGUGCCAGCCGCCGC